ACACACUGCACAGCAGCUGCACUGUCUCCAUGCCCUCCCUCCACUGCAGCCAGCCUGGCACACAGAAGAGCUUCCCCCUUCUAUUCAGGGCACAAUGACCAUCAGUGUCCCCUCCACCUGGAUCCCUGUCUGCUUGGAUAUGAGGACACAGAGCCCCUCUGAGGGUCUGGUGGCAACUGAGAGCUGAGUGAUGGGCCCUGCAUCCAAAUGAACACUGGAGGUCUCCACUUCUGCAACACUGCUCCUGUCUGUGAGUGUGAGCUGUCUGUGGCUGAAGACCCUGUUGUCUGAUGGAGUGCGACCCAGAAAGUGAAAUAAAACAUGAUAAUGCUUUAAGGAAUAAAAUAUUGCUAUAAUGAAUUAACCUUAACUAAAGGCAAAAUAUAAAAUGUAA